UGCCACAAAUUCUUUAGUUGUUUCUGCACAAAUGCAAAUUUACAUUUAAUAGCAAGACAAGUAAACAGGAAUAAGAGAUGAUUGCCCUAAUCUUCAAACAACUUUUCAGAUUGAUAGUUUAUAGUAUAAGAACUUUUUCCAGGAAACCUUUAAAAAAUACACAUAUUUAAAAAAAUAGCAUUUAAGUGUAGUCAAAAUAUACAUCUUGAAAGUAUAUAUUUUGGUUCUUAAUAUCCAAAAUCACUUUAAUGUGCAGUAAGGCAUAUAUCACAUAAAAUAGAUGCAUAAAUCAUUGCAUGCUCAUGUGUAUCAGUGUAUGUGUUUUUGUGCAAGGAUCUAGAAAAUGAUGAUGGAACUGCAAAUCUAUACAAAUAAUCACAUUUCUUAUUUCCUUUCAAGCAUUCAUUAUUCAUAUUUGUGUUUGUGCUUACCCUUUAGUUCGCAAAAUUCAAAAUCAGUUUCAUUCUCAUGCCAAGGACAUGGAGCAAUAGUGUAAAAAAGGCAAUUGAUUUUUCCACCAAAAGGAAAAUGCAACAUACCAAUUCCUCCUGUGCUUACAAAAC
rnacentral:misc_RNA from 1 species